rnacentral:rRNA from 1 species
CACUGGAAAUUGCUUAAAUUUGCACCACAUGUGUUUUUUAUUGAACAAAUUUCUUUGGUGGCGGGAGCAAUCCUACCGCCAGAGGUUAUAACUAAACCAAACUUUUUAUUUACAGUCAAACUUGAUUUAUUAUUACAAUAGUCAAAACUUUCAACAACGGAUCUCUUGGUUCUCGCAUCGAUGAAGAACGCAGCGAAAUGCGAUACGUAAUAUGAAUUGCAGAUAUUCGUGAAUCAUCGAAUCUUUGAACGCACAUUGCGCCCUUUGGUAUUCCAAAGGGCAUGCCUGUUUGAGCGUCAUUUCUCCCUCAAACCCCCGGGUUUGGUGUUGAGCAAUACGCUAGGUUUGUUUGAAAGAAUUUAACGUGGAAACUUAUUUUAAGCGACUUAGGUUUAUCCAAAAACCUUUAUUUGGCAAGGGCCCACCACAUUUUAUUUCUUACCUUUAACCUCAAAUCAGGAAGAACUACCCGCUAAACUUAACCAAAUCAUUAACCGAAGGAAACC